rnacentral:rRNA from 1 species
UACGGAGGGUGCAAGCGUUAUCCGGAGUUACUGGGCGUAAAGGGUGCGCAGGUGGCGGCGCGCGUGGGGGGGUGAAAUCGCCCGGGCUUAACUGGGCGGGGGCCUUCCAGACGGCGUGGCUUGAGCAGCGGAGGGGGGACGUGGAAUUCCGGGUGGAGCGGUGAAAUGCGUAGAUAUCAGGAGGAAUACCGGUGGCGAAAGCGACUCUCUGGACGGUAACUGACGCUGAGGCACGAAAGCGUGGGGGAGCAAACAGG